rnacentral:rRNA from 1 species
GAUGAACGCUGGCGGCGUGCCUAAUACAUGCAAGUCGGGCGAACGGACGAGAAGCUUGCUUCUCUGAUGUUAGCGGCGGACGGGUGAGUAACACGUGGAUAACCUACCUAUAAGACUGGGAUAACUUCGGGAAACCGGAGCUAAUACCGGAUAAUAUUUUGAACCGCAUGGUUCAAAAGUGAAAGACGGUCUUGCUGUCACUUAUAGAUGGAUCCGCGCUGCAUUAGCUAGUUGGUAAGGUAACGGCUUACCAAGGCAACGAUGCAUAGCCGACCUGAGAGAGUGAUCGGCCACACUGGAACUGAGACACGGUCCAGACUCCUACGGGAGGCAGCAGUAGGGAAUCGUCCGCAAUGGGCGAAAGCCUGACGGAGCAACGCCGCGUGAGUGAUGAAGGUCUUCGGAUCGUAAAACUCUGUUAUUAGGGAAGAACAUAUGUGUAAGUAACUGUGCACAUCUUGACGGUACCUAAUCAGAAAGCCACGGCUAACUACGUG